UACGAAGGGGGCUAGCGUUGUUCGGAAUUACUGGGCGUAAAGCGCACGUAGGCGGAUCGAUCAGUCAGGGGUGAAAUCCCAGGGCUCAACCCUGGAACUGCCUUUGAUACUGAAGAUCUUGAGUUCGGGAGAGGUGAGUGGAACUGCGAGUGUAGAGGUGAAAUUCGUAGAUAUUCGGAAGAACACCAGUGGCGAAGGCGGCUCACUGGACUGGUAUUGACGCUGAGGUGCGAAAGCGUGGGGAGCGAACAGG
rnacentral:rRNA from 1 species